UACGGGGGGGGGCAAGCGUUGUUCGGAAUUACUGGGCGUAAAGGGCGCGUAGGCGGCCUUCUAAGUCGAACGUGAAAUCCCCAGGCUUAACCUGGGAACUGCAUCCGAUACUGGAUGGCUUGAAUCCGGGAGAGGGAUGCAGAAUUCCAGGUGUAGCGGUGAAAUGCGUAGAUAUCUGGAGGAAUACCGGUGGCGAAGGCGGCAUCCUGGACCGGCAUUGACGCUGAUGAGCGAAAGCUAGGGGAGCAAACGGG
rnacentral:rRNA from 1 species